rfam:Myotis brandtii contig166356, whole genome shotgun sequence.
GAUGGUUCUCGGGUGACACACCCUGGAAUUGGGCUCCCUCCUCUCUGGUUCCAGUUGCGUCACCCCAGAACCCCA